rnacentral:rRNA from 1 species
CACGUAGGCGGAUUGUUAAGUCGGGGGUGAAAUCCCGGGGCUCAACCCCGGAACUGCCCUCGAUACUGGCAAUCUAGAGGUCGAGAGAGGUAAGUGGAAUGGCGAGUGUAGAGGUGAAAUUCGUAGAUAUUCGCCGGAACACCAGUGGCGAAGGCGGCUUACUGGCUCGAUACUGACGCUGAGGUGCGAAAGCGUGGGGAGCAAACA